rnacentral:rRNA from 1 species
GCAUAUCAAUAAGCGGAGGAAAAGAAACCAACAGGGAUUGCCCUAGUAACGGCGAGUGAAGCGGCAACAGCUCAAAUUUGAAAUCUGGCGUCUUUGGCGUCCGAGUUGUAAUUUGCAGAGGGCGCUUUGGCAUCGGCAGCGGUCCAAGUUCCUUGGAACAGGACGUCACAGAGGGUGAGAAUCCCGUACGUGAUCGCUAGCCUUUACCGUGUAAAGCCCCUUCGACGAGUCGAGUUGUUUGGGAAUGCAGCUCUAAAUGGGAGGUAAAUUUCUUCUAAAGCUAAAUACUGGCCAGAGACCGAUAGCGCACAAGUAGAGUGAUCGAAAGAUGAAAAGCACUUUGGAAAGAGAGUUAAAAAGCACGUGAAAUUGUUGAAAGGGAAGCGCUUGCAGCCAGACUUGCCUGUAGUUGCUCAUCCGGGUUUCUACCCGGUGCACUCUUCUAUAGGCAGGCCAGCAUCAGUUUGGGCGGUUGGAUAAAGGUCUCUGUCAUGUACCUCUCUUCGGGGAGAACUUAUAGGGGAGACGACAUGCAACCAGCCCGGACUGAGGUCCGCGCAUCUGCUAGGAUGCUGGCGUAAUGGCUGUAAGCGGCCCGUCUUGAAACACGGACCAAGGAGUCUAACAUCUAUGCGAGUGUUUGGGUGUCAAGCCCGAACGCGUAAUGAAAGUGAACGGAGGUGGGAACCUUUCGGGGUGCACCAUCGACCGAUCCUGAUGUCUUCGGAUGGAUUUGAGUAAGAGCAUAGCUGUUGGGACCCGAAAGAUGGUGAACUAUGCUUGAAUAGGGUGAAGCCAGAGGAAACUCUGGUGGAGGCUCGCAGCGGUUCUGACGUGCAAAUCGAUCGUCAAAUUUGGGCAUAGGGGCGAAAGACUAAUCGAACUAUCUAGUAGCUGGGUUCCUGCCGAGU